UACGAAGGGUGCUAGCGUUGUUCGGAAUUACUGGGCGUAAAGCGUGCGUAGGUUGUUAUUCAAGUUAGUGGUGAAAUCCCGGAGCUUAACUUCGGAAUUGCCAUUAAAACUGGAUAGCUAGAGAGUGUUAGAGGUGAGUGGAAUUUCUAGUGUAGGAGUGAAAUCCGUAGAUAUUAGAAGGAACAUCAAUGGCGAAGGCAGCUCACUGGGUCACAUCUGACACUGAGGCACGAAAGCGUGGGUAGCAAACAGG
rnacentral:rRNA from 1 species